GGCUCAAUGGUCUAGUGGUAGGAUACUCGCUUCGGGUUAAUUCCCAUCCUUGAAAUGAGGGUACCUCUUGUGAGUGGUCCCGGGUUCAAAUCCCGGUUGAGCCC